CCAGACUCCUACGGGAGGCAGCAGUGGGGAAUAUUGCACAAUGGGGGAAACCCUGAUGCAGCGACGCCGCGUGAGCGAUGAAGUAUUUCGGUAUGUAAAGCUCUAUCAGCAGGGAAGAAAAUGACGGCACCUGACUAAGAAGCCCCGGCUAACUACGUGCCAGCAGCCGCGGUAAUACGUAGGGGGCAAGCGUUAUCCGGAUUUACUGGGUGUAAAGGGAGCGUAGACGGUCCUGCAAGCCAGAUGUGAAAGCCCGGGGCUCAACCCCGGGACUGCAUUUGGAACUGUAAGGCUAGAGUGUCGGAGAGGCAGGCGGAAUUCCUAGUGUAGCGGUGAAAUGCGUAGAUAUACGGAGGAACACCAGUGGCGAAGGCGGAUUGCUGGACAGUAACUGACGCUGAGGCGCGAAAGCGUGGGGAGCAAACAGGAUUAGAUACCCGGGUAU
rnacentral:rRNA from 1 species